CUGGAUCAGCACUCCAAGAGACGGUGAAAGUUGGUGCUAAGUCAGGAUCAGCCACGGAGAAGGUAAAAUUGUCCAGCCAAAGAAAAUGGCUUCACGUGGAGUAUCUAUGAUGAUUCUGUUCUUUAUCUCCAUCUCUGUUAUCAAUAUUUCUCGGUCUCAGAACCCACAAGUGUUUCAAAGGAAACACAUGACAUUUCUGGAUAACAUAGACCACAACAGAUGCAACAGUGAGAUGAAAAAUAGAAGGAUUGCUUUGACUAGGAGUGGAUGCAAACGGCUCAACACAUUCAUCCAUGCCCCCGAGAAGCUUAUUGAUCAAACCUGUGUGUCAGGGAAACCAUAUGUGAUCCAAAAUCUAGAAUAUAAGAAGAGUAGCAUGAAAUUUCGUGUGACAAGUUGCAGACUUUCUCAGGAAUAUGGAAAAGAUUGCAAGUACAAGGCAGAAGAGAGCAGAUGGAAAUACAUUGUGGUUUCGUGCAACCAAAAUGACCGUCCAGUCCAUCUGGCAGGGAUACUUACCUGGUAAAGCAAGAAGAUGAACAAAUUUGUUUCUCAAGUAGUCACUUUAUUUUAUGCAUACAGUAAUGCAAUUUUUCAGUGGAUUCUAGGGAGAAAAGCUUAUUCUGUUGUGCCAAUCUUUUU